rnacentral:rRNA from 1 species
UGGGGAAUAUUGCACAAUGGGCGAAAGCCUGAUGCAGCAACGCCGCGUGAGUGAUGAAGGUCUUCGGAUUGUAAAGCUCUGUCUUUUGGGACGAUAAUGACGGUACCAAAGGAGGAAGCCACGGCUAACUACGUGCCAGCAGCCGCGGUAAUACGUAGGUGGCGAGCGUUGUCCGGAUUUACUGGGCGUAAAGGGUGCGUAGGCGGAUGUUUAAGUGAGAUGUGAAAUACCCGGGCUUAACUUGGGUGCUGCAUUUCAAACUGGAUAUCUAGAGUGCAGGAGAGGAGAAUGGAAUUCCUAGUGUAGCGGUGAAAUGCGUAGAGAUUAGGAAGAACACCAGUGGCGAAGGCGAUUCUCUGGACUGUAACUGACGCUGAGGCACGAAAGCGUGGGUAGCAAACAGGAUUAGAUACCCUGGUAGUCCACGCCGUAAACGAUGAGUACUAGGUGUAGGAGGUAUCGACCCCUUCUGUGCCACAGUAAACACAUUAAGUACUCCGCCUGGGAAGUACGAUCGCAAGAUUAAAACUCUAAAGUGAAUUGAC